GUCGCGAUGCUGAUACGGUCGUUCUUUCCAUGACUCUUCCCAUUCUCUCUCCGGCGUCAUGGCGUGCCGCGUGCAGACCUCGUUUCUAGUAUUGUAACUCCGCGACACGAUGCCGGUAUCCGAGCCGACUUACACGCGCAAUCACGUCUCUACUUUCUAAUCAACAUUUGUAUUCAGUAUUUAGUUAAUUAGGCAUUAAGUGUGUAUUAAAACGCCUCAUGGCAUAAAAUCAGAA